UGGGGAAUUUUGGACAAUGGGCGAAAGCCUGAUCCAGCAAUGCCGCGUGUGUGAAGAAGGCCUUCGGGUUGUAAAGCACUUUUGUCCGGAAAGAAAUCCUUGGCUCUAAUACAGUCGGGGGAUGACGGUACCGGAAGAAUAAGCACCGGCUAACUACGUGCCAGCAGCCGCGGUAAUACGUAGGGUGCAAGCGUUAAUCGGAAUUACUGGGCGUAAAGCGUGCGCAGGCGGUUUGCUAAGACCGAUGUGAAAUCCCCGGGCUCAACCUGGGAACUGCAUUGGUGACUGGCAGGCUAGAGUAUGGCAGAGGGGGGUAGAAUUCCACGUGUAGCAGUGAAGUGCGUAGAGAUGUGGAGGAAUACCGAUGGCGAAGGCAGCCCCCUGGGCCAAUACUGACGCUCAUGCACGAAAGCGUGGGGAGCAAACAGGAUUAGAUACCCUGGUAGUCCACGCCCUAAACGAUGUCAACUAGUUGUUGGGGAUUCAUUUCCUUAGUAACGUAGCUAACGCGUGAAGUUGACCGCCUGGGGAGUACGGUCGCAAGAUUAAACUCAAUG
rnacentral:rRNA from 1 species